UAUAAUUUAAAAAGUCUUAAGGCUUACUAAACUACUAUAAAUAGUCAGCAUUCCCUUCCUCGAAUCGUUUUAUGUGUGGUACUUGUAAUAAACAAAAAAACAGGCGAUGUCAAAUCCUCCAUGUUAAAGCAGCAGCAAUUCCACUGGCAACUAAUCCAACAACGACAGCAACAAUUCAUAUCCCAAUCACACUGUCUCCAUACAAAAUGAGCAUAAUUAAACAACUCAUUCACUUAGUUUACAUCAAAUGCAUCACAUUGUUCAUACCUUGUGUGACCCAAUCUUCAAUUGAUUUUUUCAACGUCUGUGCCUGCCUCCAUUCUAGUUCUAUCUAUAUGCAUAAGACGUCCACUCAUCACAAAGUUUCAGCUAUAUUACUUUCAUUUCCCACAAACAUCUGACUUGAACACACAAGCGUCUGUGCCAGUCCUCUUCUGUUUAAGCUAUUCACAACUGGCUUUUCCUGUAGCAAUGGUGGAACAUUGAUGAGACAAGAACUGAAGAGUAUAAGUAAUCAUAUAAGAAUUUUGUAUAUAGAAGUGGACAUCCGUUUCUCAGCAAGUCUUAGCUAUUCCCAUAAGUCUUCGUCCCUCCAGAUCAUUUGAUUUGGCAUUUCUAGCAACAUGGGCAUUAUACGGUCAAAUCGACAUGCAAACAUUCACAUCAUAGUUACAGAGACUGCUGCAAAUUCACAUCUUUGUUACUAAAGAGAAACCAAGUUGAACUAAAAUGGGAAAUAUAAUAGAUUGAGAUGGGAACCAAAAUAUCAAAUAUAAGAAAGCAUAUGUUUCCAGCAGGCCAGAGAACCUUACAGAGCAGAAUAACAGAUUAUGUUAUGUUCAAUAGAGAGAGGGUUGAAAAAAAAGCAAGCAUGAGUUCAACAGUGAAGAGCAUGAUAUUAGAACGGAAGAAGAGAUAGUUUCUCAAAAAGGAAUAAUUAAUGGGGAGAGCUGACCUUAGAGACUUGCUCGGCCACACCAAUUAAGUCGCAGUUUAAUUUCCUGGUGACGAUCGACGAGCUUUGAACAUACACACACCACCAUUAACAAGAGUCCCCUAACACCUAUAGAUCAUCAUAAUCAAAGGUUACAUAGUUGAUGGCCAAUGAUUAAAUAUGACAAAUCAUAACAUAUAUAUCUUCCAUUCUUACGUGCAGGGUUAGCUAAAUUUUAGCCUUACAUUAUUUAACAAUGGAACACGACCAUGAAUGAAUCACAAUACUAGAAGAUGCAAUAAAACUUUUCCGAGUUAGCAUUAAUAUAGAAUUGAGAUAUGUCACCUCAAAGAAAUAAUAAUGAAGAAGCAAUUUUUAUAAAGCAUUAGUAGUGAGGGAGUUACUUCAUGAGUAGUAGUAAUAUCACCAAACAUUCCUAGUCAACCCUAGCUUUACCAGCAGAGAUUAACCAUUAUGUAUAAACAACAAAUGAACAAGCAGGACACAACAAACUAGCAUCAAGUAUAAUAGAUGCAUGUAAAAGACUGAUCAACAGGAAUUCAGACUAGUUAUACAAACCUAAACAGACCCGACGACACUGAGAUGACAGCUCAGAUGGUUUCACAAUUGCAGUACACCCAUCAGCCAAAGUUAGACCCACUACUAUUGCAUCUAUUGUCACUAAUUUCACUCCACACACUAUCAAAACGAGCUUAUUGGAAAUUAGACAAGGAUUUAACGAACAAAAUUAAAUUAGAAGAGCCAUAUGCAGAGCUGCAAUGAAAAAACAAACCUUAUAUUCAAACAUUGAAACUCAAAAAAUUAAGGCAACCAAAUCUAAAACCCAAAUCUGAAUAAAAUCUGAAACCUUAAUAUGUAUGCAAUCAGACCCCAAUUUCAAUUAAAUCUGAAACCCUUACCUAUGUUAGUUGAUUAAAUGAAAUUGUAACUAAAGAGGAGGGAGGACGAGUGAAGAUGAAGAAAAAGGGGAGGGGAACGAGAUUCUGGUUUCUUGAAGAUGAAGAGGAGGGAGAUGAGUGAGAAAGAAAAGACCGAGAGAACGGAGAAAGAGCGAAGAACCAAAAAAGAAGAGAUGUAAUGUUCAUCUGAACUGUAACCUAGCUUCUGAAGUCGUGAUUUGGUUCUAUUAUUUGGAUCGAAGAUAGCUUGUGUCGCGAUUAGUUUUAAAAUAACCAUGACAACCUCUAUCUCGAAAGCAUUAUAUGGGAUUUAACUAAAUUUGCUGCAACUGUCAUUCUCGUGGAUAAUAAUCCC
rnacentral:lncRNA from 1 species